UUAUUAUAAUUUGAAGUAGAGAGGAAUUGUGGAUACAAUUGAAACACUUCAACGGCUUGAUGUUCAAAUCAGUGCACUUUACUCACAGGUUUGAACUAUAUCAUUAAAUGUGAAAUAGAUAGAAUAAAAGGAAUCUUUUUGUUGCUACUCGCUACACUCAUUCAAGGAAAACUAUAUACAAUGAGAGUGCACGCAUUUUUAAUAAAUACAUUUUUUUAUAUUACCAUUUAUUUCCGUACAACUUAAACAAAAUAAAAACAUGAAUUACCUAAAGAACAGUCAAUAAUCCUUAAUGAAUUAUUGGCGAUCAUUUUUUGGGACGUCAGAGCAAAAAAGUCAUCCCUCAGAAUUUUACCUCCAAAAGAUGAUUCCGUCUCCUUUGCAAUGACGUUAAAAACUGCCAGGAGAGUAAUAUAAAAUGUGAGAUGUGGUAUCUUCCUCUACAUUACAGAAAAGACACCACGACUUUGGAUUCUAAUAGAAGACACUUCAAGUGUACCUGUACAGACUUUGUAAGUAAGCCACUUUUCAGCUGGAGACAAAAUGGGGUUCUUAAAGUGUCGACAAAUUUGCUUUCCAGCCAGAUUCAAACCUCUUCGACUUCCAACACUCUCAAUUAAUUUUAUUUCAGAUCUUUUCUACAAUGAUCUCCGAUCUGAUAAUCUCAAAAAGGAAAGAGCAUUUCUUAAGUCAUAAGUCCGUUACAUUUUCCAAGAUCCCCUACGGUGCUAAUAUUUGGAAUGCUUCGCAAAGACUUGGGAAUCUGUUAUGUUGAGCCUCUCAGAUGUAUAUUUUGACCUAUAGAUAACUCAAGCUUCUGUAGAGUCCAUUGAACAUCACAAAGAAGAGAACUCAAAAAUUUAAGACUGAUAAGAUGGUGCAUGAUUGGUUGUAUACCAUCAUUAGCAUGAUCUGGUCCUAAGACCUGGAGAGGUACUGAAAUGUUCCACAAAUUUUGUUCUUUUAGACAAUUCAAAAUCCAUUCUACCUGAAGUGCUCUCCAAAAACCUAUAAAAUCCAAAAUCCUCAAUCUUCCAAGUACCUUUAGGGUAUAUGUUUAUUCGCAAGACAAAUUUCUCUUUUUGUCAAGAUUUAAAAAGGAUUGAAUGUAACCAUUGACUUUUAGGCAUACAAUUUUGUCAAAACCUGUACUUUAAUAAUAUGAAUGACUUUAAACAUUAUAUUUGUAUUACACUCGUUUAUACUUUCCCAUCGAUGAAAGUCUAGAUGUUUUAUACUUUUGGUGUGGAAGUCAAUCUUUUUUUUAAAUAGUUGCUUUGUUGAUUAAAGAUGCCUUGUUACCUAUUGUUACUCCUAAAACGCUGAUGUCAGUUUUAACCGAAUGCCACAAAGUUUCCAAAUUAGCAUUGCUUUUCGAGAAAAUUUAUGUCUUAUCUUCAGAAUAGUAAUACCAUUAUAGUGAAUGCUUGUUUUUUUUUUCAACAUUGACGACCCACCAGGGUUCUUUGGAGAGGUUUCUCUUCUAGUACUAUUAAACCAUUUGUUGUAUUUUGUUCUUCUUCAGGAAUUUCAAUAUUUCCGGAUGUCUCUGAUUCUUUAAGAAAGCUCAAGCUCUCUUUAAUUUUUGAGUACAAUACUCUUUAUGAUUUACAAUUUUGUCUUUUAUGACAAAGAUUAACCCAUUGGUAGCACUGAGGCUUAACACCCUCAAAUUGGAGACUUAUUAAUUGCCCUCCAAUACGAACAAUUUGGGAAAUUGUCUCAGGGGUUUGAUCAUAUAAUAAUAGUAUUGAGUGCAGUAAUUUUCAAUUUCUUAAUUACUUAUCUGCACCUUUCACUGAUUUGGGACUUUCCAGGAUCUGGUGGAUCCAAGUUCAUUCUUCGGACAUACAUAAGUUUACUUAAACAAUCAUCUUUAGUAUUUCUACACAUGUAAUGAAACUCUUUGAUUCUAUCAGAUUAUUAUACUAUAAGACCAAUAACUUCAUAUUUGAGAAUGUACCUCAUGUACUCAUGAGAAACGUUCGUUAACCUCAAUUUUCUGUUUCUUCGUAAACAGUUCCCAGAUGAAGUGUCUCGUGUAAAUGUUUAUGUCCAAGAAAUUCAACCUUCAGAAUUGGUCUUUUUAGUGACCAAGGACUGUCUCACAAAAAUAUGAAAGAGCUUGCAUUGUUUUGGAUCAGGAUGUUUUAAGAUAAUAUUAAUAUAUAGUAGAUUCAUAAAAUUUUCCUUGACACGUAGUGACGGAUGAUUAACUUAUGGAAAAAUUCUUAAGUAAGAUAUGUUAAUUUUAUACUUUUAAGGACUUAGUGUUUAUUGUUAUUGUUGAGGAAAGUUGACAACAUUUUAUACCAUCUAAGUCAAAAUAUUUUUUGUGCAGCCAAAAUUACUUUGUAGGUCCUAAAUUAAGGCAACAGUAAAAUAAAACGACUAAUAACACUAUGCAGCAACAUUUUUGUGUGAAGACUGAACCCAAUAUUUAUAAUUGUUCGGGCAAAUUGAAUCGGUAAUAUAUCUAUCAAUUGAUCAAUUAUCUUGAAUAUGAAGCAUCUAUUAACUUGUUUUAAUCCCCUUAUAUCUAAAUUUUUAAUCUAAUUACUUUAUAUUAUUGUUGAAAAACUCAUAAUGAGCUUAAGUUUUUUCACAGAAUAUUAUCGAAAUCGAUUUUCAACGCAGCCUAACCAGCAUAUUUUAUGAAAAUUACUAAAUUAUUAUUAACACAAAAUGGACCAAAAACAAUCAAAAUCUACCUCUUUUAAUUGCCAUUUAAAAAAACUUAAAGAAAUAAUAAUAAAAAAUAUUCACUUCUAAGUAAGGUACUUCAUUUUAUUCGAUUCUUUAGUGGUUAUAUACAAUUUUUAUUGUAAGAAAGAUUUAUUAAAAAAUAAUUCAUUUUUCAAAUGGUGAAUAUUUGUAUCAAUUUGUUAUUUUCUUAGAUUUUCCUCUAUAUACAUGUCAAAAUAUGGCACUGAAUCCUAGCUAUACCCUAAAAACUUCAUAACAAAGAAAAGACUUUAAAGGCUAAACCUACAUGUUCUUAAAGGCCAAACCUACAUGCUUUUAAAGGUCAAACAUACAUACUUUUAAAAUUUUAAUGGUAAUUUUCGUGUUCUUUGGCCUAAAUAAUAAUAAUAAAUGUGGGUUUCAGCCUGCGGUGCUCCAAGACCUUCAUUUCGUAGCAUAGUGUAAUUUAUCUUCAUACAAUAUAUAGAAAUCUAAAUUCUUUAUGCAUCUGAACCGUCUGAUCUCUUGUGUAAUAAAAUCAAUUAUGAAUGUUUUAACAUUUUCUUGUAAAUUUCUAAACUUCUUUGAAUGAGAUACUCUUGAGUCAUACUUAUCAAUAUGAUUUAGAUUUUUUUCUUAUAAGAUGUUAAAUUUAAUAAAGAUAUACGUUAUCAAAA
rnacentral:misc_RNA from 1 species